UACGUAGGGGGCAAGCGUUGUCCGGAAUCAUUGGGCGUAAAGCGCGUGUAGGCGGCCCGGUAAGUCCGCUGUGAAAGUCCAGGGCUCAACCCUGGGAUGCCGGUGGAUACUGUCGGGCUCGAGUCCGGAAGAGGCGAGUGGAAUUCCCGGUGUAGCGGUGAAAUGCGCAGAUAUCAGGAGGAACACCAAUGGCGAAGGCAGCUCGCUGGGACGUGACUGACGCUGAGACGCGAAAGCGUGGGGAGCAAACAGG
rnacentral:rRNA from 1 species